GACGAACGCUGGCGGCGUGCUUAACACAUGCAAGUCGAACGCUGAAGCCCUGGCUUUUGUUGGGUUGGAUGAGUGGCGAACGGGUGAGUAACACGUGAGUAACCUGCCCUCUUCUUUGGGAUAACGCCCGGAAACGGGUGCUAAUACUGGAUAUUCACUGGCCUUCGCAUGGGGGUUGGUGGAAAGGUUUGUUCUGGUGGGGGAUGGGCUCGCGGCCUAUCAGCUUGUUGGUGGGGUGAUGGCCUACCAAGGCUUUGACGGGUAGCCGGCCUGAGAGGGUGACCGGUCACAUUGGGACUGAGAUACGGCCCAGACUCCUACGGGAGGCAGCAGUGGGGAAUAUUGCACAAUGGGCGAAAGCCUGAUGCAGCGACGCCGCGUGAGGGAUGGAGGCCUUCGGGUUGUAAACCUCUUUCGCUCAUGGUCAAGCCGCAACUGUGGGUUGUGGUGAGGGUAGUGGGUAAAGAAGCGCCGGCUAACUACGUG
rnacentral:rRNA from 1 species